rnacentral:rRNA from 1 species
CCGGCGACCGGCGCACGGGUGAGUAACACGUAUGCAACCUGCCCUCUUCAGGGGGACAACCUUCCGAAAGGGAGGCUAAUCCCGCGUAUAUCGGUUUCGGGCAUCCGAGAUCGAGGAAAGAUUCAUCGGAAGAGGAUGGGCAUGCGGCGCAUUAGCUAGACGGCGGGGUAACGGCCCACCGUGGCGACGAUGCGUGGGGUUCUGAGAGGAAGGUCCCCCACACUGGUACUGAGACACGGACCAGACUCCUACGGAAGGCAGCAG